GACGAACGCUGGCGGCGUGCCUAAUACAUGCAAGUCGAGCGGACCAAUGAAGUGCUUGCACUUCGGAGGUCAGCGGCGGACGGGUGAGUAACGCGUGAGAAACCUGCCUUUCACAAAGGGAUAGCCUCGGGAAACUGGGAUUAAUACCUUAUGAUACUUCUUUAUCGCAUGAUAGAGAAGUCAAAGCGUAAAGCGGUGAAAGAUGGUCUCGCGUCCCAUUAGUUAGUUGGUGAGGUAACGGCUCACCAAGACUGCGAUGGGUAGCCGGCCUGAGAGGGUGAACGGCCACACUGGAACUGAGACACGGUCCAGACACCUACGGGUGGCUG
rnacentral:rRNA from 1 species